rnacentral:rRNA from 1 species
GAACGUACGCUGGCGGCACGCCUAACACAUGCAAGUCGAACGAAGUAGCAAUACUUAGUGGCAGACGGGUGAGUAACAUGUAGGUAUCUGCCCUUUGGCCUGGAAUAACACGAGGAAACUUGUGCUAAUACCGGAUAAGUCUUUACAGAGAAAGCUUUAUGCACCAUUGGAUGAGCCUGCACUUGAUUAGUUUGUUGGUGGGGUAAUGGCCUACCAAGACUGUGAUCAAUAGCUGAUUUGAGAGGAUGAUCAGCCACAUUGGGACUGAGACACGGCCCAAACUCCUACGGGAGGCAGCAGUGGGGAAUCUUGCACAAUGGAGGAAACUCUGAUGCAGCGAUGCCGCGUGAGUGAAGAAGGCCCUUGGGUUGUAAAGCUCUUUCGUCGGGGAAGAAAAUGACUGUACCCGAAUAAGAAGGUCCGGCUAACUUCGUGCCAGCAGCCGCGGUAAUACGAAGGGACCUAGCGUAGUUCGGAAUUACUGGGCUUAAAGAGUUCGUAGGUGGUUGAAAAAGUUAGUGGUGAAAUCCCAGAGCUUAACUCUGGAACUGCCAUUAAAACUUUUCAGCUAGAGUAUGAUAGAGGAAAGCAGAAUUUCUAGUGUAGAGGUGAAAUUCGUAGAUAUUAGAAAGAAUACCAAUUGCGAAGGCAGCUUUCUGGAUCAUUACUGACACUGAGGAACGAAAGCAUGGGUAGCGAAGAGGAUUAGAUACCCUCGUAGUCCAUGCCGUAAACGAUGUGUGUUAGACGUUGGAAAUUUAUUUUCAGUGUCGCAGGGAAACCGAUAAACACACCGCCUGGGGAGUACGACCGCAAGGUUAAAACUCAAAUGAAUUGACGGGGACCCGCACAAGUAGUGGAGCAUGUGGUUUAAUUCGAAGAUACGCGCAGAACCUUACCAACACUUGACAUGUUCGUCGCGACUUUAAGAGAUUAGAGUUUUCGGUUCGGCCGGACGAAACACAGGUGCUGCAUGGCUGUCGUCAGCUCGUGUCGUGAGAUGUUGGGUUAAGUCCCGCAACGAGCGCAACCCUCACUUUUAGUUGCCAUCAUUAAGUUGGGCACUCUGAAAGAACUGCCAGUGAUAAGCUGGAGGAAGGUGGGGAUGACGUCAAGUCCUCAUGGCCCUUACGUGUUGGGCUACACACGUGCUACAAUGGUAUUUACAACAGGAAGCAAGACUGCGAAGUUAAGCAAAUCCCUAAAAGAUACCUCAGUUCGGAUUGCACUCUGCAACUCGAGUGCAUGAAGCUGGAAUUACUAGUAAUCGUGGAUCAGCGUGCCACGGUGAAUGCGUUCCCGGGUCUUGUACACACCGCC